UGCAACACAGUCUCUGUCCUUUUCAUUCUAAUGGGAGAUGCAAAGCACUAUGGCAGGGGCAGGCAGAGGGCAAGAAUGAGUAAUACACAAAGUCAGUAAAGCUGAUCUUUGGGCCAAGGUUGUAACAUGGUCAGUCCCAGGUUGGAGACAACUAAUCUCAUUGUAAGACAGCUCUCAAUAUUUAAACAAAGCUAAAGUCUGCAUUAGAGCUCAAUGGUUGAUUGAAGUUGUAAUUAGUUAAGACGUAAUACUGGAGUGGACCGGGCUCCUUAUCCAAUAUGACUGGUGUCCUUAUAUGAAGCUGGUUAUGUGAAGACACAGACACACAGGGAGAAUGCCAUGAAGAUGGGAGAUGGUGCAACUACAAGCCAAGGAAUGCCGAAGACUGCUGGCAACCACCAGAAGAAGCUAGGAAGAGACAAGAAGGAUUUCCCUCCAGGUUUCAGAAAGAGUAUGGCUCUGCCAACACCUUCCUCUGAGACUUCUAGCCCCCAGAACUGUGAGAAAAUACAUUUCUCUGUUUAAAGCCACCCAGUUUAUGGUACUUUCUUCCUGCAGCCCUAGGAAUCUAAUGGCUAAUGAAGUCUGGGCCCAUGGUUCCCCCUCUGGAUGCCUCAUUCACAGAAAUGGUUCCAGGUGACCUGGGUGGUGUACAGCAGUCCCUGCUUAUCUGCAGUUUCACUUUUCACAGCUUAAGUUAACCUAUGGUCAACAGCAGCCUAAAAAUAUUAA
rnacentral:lncRNA from 1 species